rnacentral:rRNA from 1 species
AUACGAAGGGGGCAAGCGUUGUUCGGAAUAACUGGGCGUAAAGCGCACGUGGGCGGAAUGUUAAGUUAGAGGUGAAAUCCCAGGGCUCAACCCUGGAACUGCCUUUAAUACUGGCAAUCUAGAGACCGAGAGAGGUGAGUGGAAUUCCGAGUGUAGAGGUGAAAUUCGUAGAUAUUCGGAGGAACACCAGUGGCGAAGGCGGCUCACUGGCUCGGUACUGACGCUGCGGUGCGAAAGCGUGGGGAGCAAACAGGAUUAGAAACCCUUGUAGUCC